UUAAAAUAAAUGGCAGGCUAAGAGAUUUAAUAACUCGAAACCUAAGCGAAAGCAAGUCUUAAUAGGGCGUCAAUUUAACAAAACUUUAAAUAAAUUAUAAAGUCAUUUAUUUUAGACCCGAACCUGAGUGAUCUAACCAUGGUCAGGAUGAAACUUGGGUGACACCAAGUGGAAGUCCGAACCGACCGAUGUUGAAAAAUCGGCGGAUGAACUGUGGUUAGUGGUGAAAUACCAGUCGAACUCAGAGCUAGCUGGUUCUCCCCGAAAUGCGUUGAGGCGCAGCAAUAUAUCUCGUCUAUCUAGGGGUAAAGCACUGUUUCGGUGCGGGCUAUGAAAAUGGUACCAAAUCGUGGCAAACUCUGAAUACUAGAAAUGACGAUAUAUUAGUGAGACUAUGGGGGAUAAGCUCCAUAGUCGAGAGGGAAACAGCCCAGACCACCAGUUAAGGCCCCAAAAUGAUAAUGAAGUGGUAAAGGAGGUGAAAAUGCAAAUACAACCAGGAGGUUGGCUUAGAAGCAGCCAUCCUUUAAA
rnacentral:rRNA from 1 species